UAGGUUUGACAUCACCCGGAAACCUCUAUCUCUAGAGGUUUCCGGGUGAUGUCAAACCUAGGUAAGGUUCUUCGCGUUGCAUCGAAUUAAUCCGCAUGCUCCGCCGCUUGUGCGGGCCCCCGUCAAUUCCUUUGAGUUUUAGCCUUGCGGCCGUACUCCCCAGGCGGGGCGCUUAAUGCGUUAGCUACGGCACAGAAUCAACCAACGUGACCCCACACCUAGCGCCCACCGUUUACAGCAUGGACUAC
rnacentral:misc_RNA from 1 species